rnacentral:tmRNA from 1 species
CAUUGUACCACCGUUAUCGGGCUAAUUUUACAAAUGCAAACGAUAAUGAAGCAUUUGCGGUAGCAGCUUAACAGCUAACCUACCACGGGGUCCGGAGGGCACCUAGCAACAGAAGCCCUCCACU